rnacentral:ncRNA from 2 species
UAAGUAAACCGGGUGACCGCUCUGGUUUGUAUAAAUCAGGGAGGAAAGUCCGAGCUCCACCGGGCAGGGUGCUGGGUAACGCCCAGGAGGGGUGACCCUACGGAAAGUGCCACAGAAACAUACCGCUCUUUUUAUUAAGAGUAAGGGUGAAAUGGUGAGGCAAGAGCUCACCAGCAGCCAGGUGACUGGCUGGCUGGGCAAACCCCAUCCGGAGCAAGACCAA